AGGGUUUGAUCCUGGCUCAGAUUGAACGCUGGCGGAAUGCUUUACACAUGCAAGUCGAACGGGACUUAGGGGCUUGCUCCUAAGUUUAGUGGCGAACGGGUGAGUAACAUAUCGGAACGUAUCCAUUAAUGGGGGAUAACUAAUCGAAAGGUUGGCUAAUACCGCAUACGCCCUACGGGGGAAAGCAGGGGAUCUUCGGACCUUGCGUUAAUGGAGCGGCCGAUAUCUGAUUAGCUAGUUGGUGGGGUAAAGGCUCACCAAGGCGACGGUCAGUAGCUGGUCUGAGAGGACGACCAGCCACACUGGAACUGAGACACGGUCCAGACUCCUACGGGAGGCAGCAGUGGGGAAUUUUGGACAAUGGGCGAAAGCCUGAUCCAGCCAUUCCGCGUGAGUGAAGAAGGCCUUCGGGUUGUAAAGCUCUUUCGCAAGGGAAGAAAACUUAUAUUCUAAUAAAGUAUGAGGAUGACGGUACCUUGAUAAGAAGCACCGGCUAACUACGUGCCAGCAGCCGCGGUAAUACGUAGGGUGCGAGCGUUAAUCGGAAUUACUGGGCGUAAAGCGUGCGCAGGCGGUUUUGAAAGUCAGAUGUGAAAUCCCCGAGCUCAACUUGGGAACUGCGUUUGAACUCCAAAGCUAGAGUAUAGGAGAGGGGGGUAGAAUUCCACGUGUAGCAGUGAAAUGCGUAGAGAUGUGGAGGAAUACCAAUGGCGAAGGCAGCCCCCUGGCCUAAUACUGACCCUCAUGCACGAAAGCGUGGGGAGCAAACAGGAUUAGAUACCCUGGUAGUCCACGCCCUAAACGAUGUCUACUAGUUGUUGGUGGAGUAAAAUCCAUUAGUAACGCAGCUAACGCGUGAAGUAGACCGCCUGGGGAGUACGGUCGCAAGAUUAAAACUCAAAUGAAUUGACGGGGGCCCGCACAAGCGGUGGAUUAUGUGGAUUAAUUCGAUGCAACGCGAAAAACCUUACCUGGCCUUGACAUGCCACUAACGAAGCAGAGAUGCAUUAGGUGCUCGAAAGAGAAAGUGGACACAGGUGCUGCAUGGCUGUCGUCAGCUCGUGUCGUGAGAUGUUGGGUUAAGUCCCGCAACGAGCGCAACCCUUGUCGUUAAUUGCCAUCAUUGAGUUGGGCACUUUAACGAGACUGCCGGUGACAAACCGGAGGAAGGUGGGGAUGACGUCAAGUCCUCAUGGCCCUUAUGGCCAGGGCUUCACACGUAAUACAAUGGUCGGUACAGAGGGUUGCCAACCCGCGAGGGGGAGCCAAUCCCAGAAAGCCGAUCGUAGUCCGGAUUGCAGUCUGCAACUCGACUGCAUGAAGUCGGAAUCGCUAGUAAUCGCGGAUCAGCAUGUCGCGGUGAAUACGUUCCCGGGCCUUGUACACACCGCCCGUCACACCAUGGGAGUGGGUUUCACCAGAAGUAGGUAGUCUAACCGCAAGGAGGACGCUUACCACGGUGGGAUUCAUGACUGGGGUGAAGUCGUAACAAGGUAG
rnacentral:rRNA from 1 species